rnacentral:rRNA from 1 species
AGGGUUUGAUCCUGGCUCAGAAUGAACGUUGGCGGCGUGGAUUAGGCAUGCAAGUCGAGCGAGAAGUUUUAAAAAGAUACUUCGGUUGAUUUUUAGAAUGGACAGCGGCGAAAGGGAGAGUAACGAGUAGAUACGUGCCCGAGGGUCCGGGAUAGCUGCGGGAAACUGCAGGUAAUACCGGAUAAUGUUUCCGAACCAAAGAUUUAUUGCCCUCGGAUCGGUCUGCUUACUAUUAGCUUGUUGGUGGGGUAAAGGCCUACCAAGGCAAAGAUGGUUAGCGGGUGUGAGAGCAUGGCCCGUCUCACUGGGACUGAGAUACUGCCCAGACACCUACGGGUGGCUGCAGUCGAGAAUCUUCCGCAAUGGACGAAAGUCUGACGGAGCGACGCCGCGUGAUGGACGAAGGCCCUCGGGUUGUAAACAUCUGUCGUAGGGGAGGAAAUUUUGACCGAUCCUAGGAGGAAGCACAGGCUAAGUUCGUGCCAGCAGCCGCGGUAAUACGAACUGUGCAAACGUUAUUCGGAAUCACUGGGCUUAAAGGGUGCGUAGGCGGGUUUAUAGGUCAGAUGUGAAAGCCCACGGCUCAACCGUGGAAUUGCGUUUGAAACCAUAAGCCUUGAGGGGAUCAGAGGAGAGCGGAACUGAUGGUGGAGCGGUGAAAUGCGUUGAUAUCAUCAGGAACACCGGUGGCGAAAGCGGCUCUCUGGGAUCUUUCUGACGCUGAGGCACGAAAGCUAGGGGAGCGAACGGGAUUAGAUACCCCGGUAGUCCACGCCCUAAACGAUGUAUACUCGGCGUUUGAUCUUCGGAUUGGGCGCCCAAGGGAAACCGUUAAGUAUACCACCUGGGGAGUACGUUCGCAA